UACGGGGGGGGCAAGCGUUGUUCGGAAUUACUGGGCGUAAAGGGCUCGUAGGUGGCCAACUAAGUCAGACGUGAAAUCCCUCAGCUUAACUGGGGAACUGCGUCUGAUACUGGAUGGCUUGAGUUUGGGAGAGGGAUGCGGAAUUCCAGGUGGUAGCGGUGAAAUGCGUAGAUAUCUGGAGGAACACCGGUGGCGAAGGCGGCAUCCUGGACCAACACUGACACUGAGGAGCGAAAGCCAGGGGAGCAAACGGG
rnacentral:rRNA from 1 species